UCUGAGAAGUUGCUUCACGUGUUACUUCUUAUCUUGUUCUUCUUUUUCAGAAUAUAUGUUGAUCUGUAAACAAAUAUAUAUUAUUGUAGUUUGAACUGUGUAGCUAGCUACAUGUUCGUCUAUACGCUAGCCUAGGAAGAUUUGACAGGUGCUGUGGUCCAGUAAUAUACAGACAUCUUGGAUGGCUUGGAAGUCAAGGACCCGCAGUCUACAGGAGUUCGACACAGAGCUGAGUGCCUACACAGUGGAGUGGUGCCCCAUUCCACAUUGGCAAAACAUACUGGCAUGUGGAACAUAUCUACAGAAGGGGCAUAACUACAUAAGGGGCCAGACAUGGGAUCAGAGGCGGCGGCUACUCGGAUUGGCCGACUGUACCUCUUCCAGUUUCGUCAACAGGGACCUAUCCCCAAUGAGCUGCAGCGAAUUGACACCAGCUAUAUAAGAUAAAAAAUUGUGUCAUGUGCCAGUUUCUGAGAGGCCUGUGUUGUGCAUGGCUACAGCCAGUGGGGAGCUACAGCUGCACAUACGUCUGAGAGACCUCUGUUGUGCAUGGCUACAGCCAGUGGGGAGCUACAGCUGCACAUACGUCUGAGAGGCCUCUGUUGUGCAUGGCUACAGCCAGUGGGGAGCUACAGCUGCACAUACGUCUGAGAGACCUCUGUUGUGCAUGGCUACAGCCAGUGGGGAGCUACAGCUGCACAUACGUCUGAGAGGCCUGUGUUGUGCAUGGCUACAGCCAGUGGGGAGCUACAGCUGCACAUACGUCUGAGAGGCCUCUGUUGUGCAUGGCUACAGCCAGUGGGGAGCUACAGCUGCACAUACGUUUGAGAGGCCUCUGUUGUGCAUGGCUACAGCCAGUGGGGAGCUACAGCUGCACAUACGUCUGAGAGACCUCUGUUGUGCAUGGCUACAGCCAGUGGGGAGCUACAGCUGCACAUACGUCUGAGAGGCCUCUGUUGUGCAUGGCUACAGCCAGUGGGGAGCUACAGCUGCACAUACGUCUGAGAGGCCUCUGUUGUGCAUGGCUACAGCCAGUGGGGGAGCUACAGCUGCACAUACGUCUGAGAGACCUCUGUUGUGCAUGGCUACAGCCAGUGGGGAGCUACAGCUGCACAUACGUCUGAGAGGCCUCUGUUGUGCAUGGCUACAGCCAGUGGGGAGCUACAGCUGCACAUACGUCUGAGAGGCCUGUGUUGUGCAUGGCUACAGCCAGUGGGGAGCUACAGCUGCACAUACGUCUGAGAGACCUCUGUUGUGCAUGGCUACAGCCAGUGGGGAGCUACAGCUGCACAUACGUCUGAGAGACCUCUGUUGUGCAUGGCUACAGCCAGUGGGGAGCUACAGCUGCACAUACGUCUGAGAGGCCUCUGUUGUGCAUGGCUACAGCCAGUGGGGAGCUACAGCUGCACAUACGUCUGAGAGACCUCUGUUGUGCAUGGCUACAGCCAGUGGGGAGCUACAGCUGCACAUACGUCUGAGAGACCUCUGUUGUGCAUGGCUACAGCCAGUGGGGAGCUACAGCUGCAAAUACGUCUGAGAGGCCUCUGUUGUGCAUGGCUACAGCCAGUGGGGAGCUACAGCUGCACAUACGUCUGAGAGAUCUCUGUUGUGCAUGGCUACAGCCAGUGGGGAGCUACAGCUGCAUAGACUCAGACAGUCAGGUGAGAUACAGAUGCUCACUGUCGAAUAUCCACUUCCAUGUCCAUUAUUUUAGUGUGUUUGGGCUAGGGUUGCAAAACUUUCACAAAAUUCCCUGGUUUUCCAGAUAUCCCAAUUGAAACAUUACUGGAUUUAGGAGGGAAUAAGCAUUAAAUCUGUAAUCCUCCAAACAGGAUUUGUGAAAAACCAGGGAAUUUGGCAACCCUAGCUUUGGGCCCUGCUCUUAUGGAUAUGUGUCUCCAGUAGGAAGGCUGCUGUGUUCUGAAGAAUGUGAGCAGUUUGGAACUGGGACCUGAUAGGUUGGCUCUGUCAUUAGACUGGUCCACUGGAAGGGGUGACAGGUGAGGAUGGCUUUAUUUGGAAUAUAGCUACUGAAAGCUGCAUUCUAGCUAAAGACACACAGCUUGGAUAACUAGUCUUGGUUCUGUCGACUCUACUCCUAUAUCAAUCUGUCUCAUUACUACUGGGAAAGCACAGCACAAUAUCAUUGUUUAUGAUACAGAACCUUUGAUUUGAUUGUUGUUAAUGUGAUGGUCAAUGGUUUUCAUGUCGUGUCCUCUCCUCCUCUCCUUUCUGCAGUAGUGAUGUGCAUGUGGUGUCCAGUGACUCAGCAGGCUGUGGGAGAACAGUCUGACUGCUGUGUCACAGUGGAAAGCCCAUGACUUUGAAGCCUGGAUCUCAGCCUUCUCUUACUGGGACACUCCGCUAACACUCCCAGAAUCAAUCUAAUACAGGCUGCUAUUACACUCCCCUCCUGUCAGGGUUAGGAUCUAAUACAGGCUGCUAUUACACUCCCCUCCUGUCAGGGUUAGGAUCUAAUACAGGCUGCUAUUACAUUCUCCUCCUGUCAGGGUUAGGAUCUAAUACAGGCUGCUAUUACACUCCCUCCUGUCAGGGUUAGGAUCUAAUACAGGCUGCUAUUACACUCCCCUCCUGUCAGGGUUAGGAUCUAAUACAGGCUGCUAUUACACUCCCCUCCUGUCAGGGUUAGGAUCUAAUACAGGCUGCUAUUACACUCCCCUCCUGUCAGGGUUAGGAUCUAAUACAGGCUGCUAUUACACUCCCCUCCUGUCAGGGUUAGGAUCUAAUACAGGCUGCUAUUACAUUCCCCUCCUGUCAGGGUUAGGAUCUAAUACAGGCUGCUAUUACACUCCCUCCUGUCAGGGUUAGGAUCUAAUACAGGCUGCUAUUACACUCCCCUCCUGUCAGGGUUAGGAUCUAAUACAGGCUGCUAUU